rnacentral:pre_miRNA from 12 species
UUAGUGGUACAAUAUCUCAGUCUUUCCAGAUGUUUUAUAAAUUCAUCUGGAAUUACCAAGGUUGAGUUUCACUGAAC